rnacentral:tRNA from 2 species
UGGGGCGUAGCCAAGUGGUAAGGCAACGGGUUUUGGUCCCGUGAUUCGGAGGUUCGAAUCCUCCCGCCCCAGCCA